GCGGGUGACGUCACCGCGCGCGGCGGGCUCCGGCUCCGGCUCCGGCUCCGGCUCGCGCGCGGCCGCGGCCUGCCGGGGGCGGGGGCGUGCUUCCCGGGAGGCCCGUGUGGGACGGGAAGUGCCCGUUGCAGCGUGGGUGUUCCAGUUGCCCACUUUCAGGCACUUCCUGUUCGGGCCUCGUUCCCGGGCGCCUCGAUCGUCUUCGGGAAGGCCGGGGACUCCGCGCGCUCUGUUCUUAAGCUCUCGCUUGGCGCGUGCCCCUCGUGUCACCGAGUGCUUCCCUGCCGUGUCGCAGGGGUCCUGGAGUAACAACUCAGUGGCGGUGACAGCUGCAGGGACAAAGCCUGGCGUCUUCGGGACAGAACGGUGACACUCCGCAGACUGCCGUGCAGAGUAAAAGCCGGUGAGGUGAAGACGCCUGCCAGCUGCAGACCCAGCUGCCAUCACGGCGCUGUUAGCAAAACAGAUGAGCAAGGACUGGAUGCUAGCGGGAGCUUUUUGGGUGGGGGAGGCGUUGGCAUGCACUGAUGGCAUUGCCAACGUCUUAUGAACGGUCCAACUAGGCUUUAAGUUCCGUGAGGGCAACAACCGUGUGGUUUACCGUCGUAUCUCCAGGCUAGCCCCUGAAUGAAUAAACAGUACCUCCCUUCCUC